GACGAACGCUGGCGGCGCGCUUAACACAUGCAAGUCGAGCGAAGCGGCGGACGGGUGAGUAACACGUGAGUAACCUGCCUUAGACAUUGGGAUAGCCUCGGGCAACCGGGAUUAAUACAAAAUGGUCUAAGAUGGACUCGGGUCCCAUUAGCUAGUUGGUGGGUAACGGCCCACCAAGGCGAAGAUGGGUAGCCGGCAGGAGUGGGUGAACGGCCACAUUGGAACUGAGAAUCGGUCCAAGCUCUGCGGAGUGCAGCCGUGGGGAAUAUUGCACAAUGGAGGGAGCUCUGAUGCAGCGACGCCGCGUGAACAAAGAAGGCUUUCGAGUCGUAAAGUUCUUUUAUAUGGGAAGCGGUACCAUAAGAAAAAGCCCCGGCUAACUACGUGCCAGCAGCCGCGGUAAUAC
rnacentral:rRNA from 1 species